GGUAGAGUCUUUGCGCGAUGCGCUGUAACGUCACGCAUUCGCCGUCGGAUGUAUACUCCCACACUGGGCCCACCGAUCUUGUGGACGCGAUCGAGUUAGAUAGCUGAAACCAUCGUCUCCCCCACACGCUUUCAAAGCACCGAUUCAAUCCCUUCCGUCUCCCGUGCGAAGCCCGCGAGAGUCGUGCAGAGGAAAGAAAACCCGCAACGACUGCAAGAUCGAUCGUAAUAGCCGCCGGGGAAGACGAGAACGGCCUCGUGGGAGCGACGGCAGGCGAUCUCGACGCCGGUUGAAGCUGGCUGCACAAUUCCACCUUCCCCACUCGCAGCUGGGGCACUCAUCGCACCAUUCGCUGCUCCAAAGUCCCCUUGUUCCGCGAUCUCGACGCCGUUGGAACGAUGGUUCCCGCGGCUGAUCAAAACACAGCCCGGCCGGAGAUGGUGAGGGGGAGAUCAGACGGAUCCGAGAAGAGAAAGCGUUACAUGUUCCGGAUCUGACUGUCGUGUGAGGAGAUCGUACAGGACUUUCUGGCGAUCAAGGGGACGAAGCCCCUUUGGAGGCCAAAGAAGGGGCCUAGACUCCUCCAGCGACAGCUUGAUGUAAGAUGCAACUUGGUUUGAUGUUCCUAUUUGUUUUCUCGGCGGUAAGACGAGCUUGCUCAGAAGAGAAAAUUCUCUGCGAGGUUAAUCUAUCAGAUGGUUUGCCUGCAUCAACUCAACUAUUCGGCGAGCCUGCCAACUCGUAAGACCAUUCUUAGUGAAGCUCCAUCAAGUGAAAGUAUGGAAUUUUGUGCAGGUUUCAGGCAAUGCCGGCCCGGGAAUUUUACUCCUGGAACCAUGAAUUCUGCUCCCAUACAUUUUUAUGAUGGACAUGUUAUUUCAAAUGACGAAGAAAGUGUAAGCAUUCUUCUGAAUGAUAGAGUUAGCUAAUCUUUGUGGGCUAAGGUGCACUAUUUACCAAUGACGUAUGUGUUCACUAUUUACCAAUAAACAAGUACUUUUGAGCA